rnacentral:rRNA from 1 species
ACGGGGUGCAGCAGGCGCGAAAACUUCACAAUGUGCGGAAGCGCGAUGAGGGAAUCCCAAGUGCUUGCACGUAAGUGUAAGCUGUUUUUAUGUUUAAAAAGCAUAGAGAGUAAGAGCUGGGUAAGACGGGUGCCAGCCGCCGCGGUAAUACCUGCAGCUCGAGUGGUGGCCGCUAUUAUUGGGCCUAAAACGUCCGUAGCCGGUUUAAUAAAUGCCCGGGUAAAUCGUGUAGCUUAACUAUACGAAUUCCGGGUAGACUGUUAAACUUGAGACCGGGAGAAGUUAGAGGUACUCCUGGGGUAGAGGUGAAAUUCUGUAAUCCUAGGGGGACCACCGGUGGCGAAGGCGUCUGACUAGAACGGGUCUGACGGUGAGGGACGAAGCCCUGGGGCGCAAACCGGAUUAGAUACCCGGGUAGUCCAGGGUGUAAACGCUGCUUGCUUGAUGCUGGUUGGGCUCCGAGCCCAAUCAGUGUCGGAGAGAAGUUGUUAAGCAAGCUACCUGGGAAGUACGGUCGCAAGGCUGAAACUUAAAGGAAUUGGCGGGGGAGCACAGCAACGGGUGGAGCGUGCGGUUUAAUUGGAUUCAACGCCGGAAAACUCACCGGAGGCGACGGUUACAUGAAGGCCAGGCUGAUGACCUUGCCAGAUUUUCCGAGAGGUGGUGCAUGGCCGCCGUCAGUUCGUACCGUAAGGCGUUCUGUUAAGUCAGACAACGAACGAGACCCUCAUCUUUAAUUGCUACUGGUAAGUCCGCUUAUCACGCACAUUAA